rnacentral:lncRNA from 1 species
GCGUUAUACUUUAUUGAACAAGCAGUUAAUAACACAGAAGUAAAUAAUAUUCUCCACCAGUAAAUAUCUCAACAAAAAUUAAACAAGUUUACAAAUCAUAACAACCUUUAAUUGCACUAAUGGUAUUUCCUGCAGUAUUUUAAAAUGUAGCAAAAUUUGAGUUGGAUUGAUUUCAAUAAAAAUCCAAAAAAAAUUAGAAAAAUAUCAAAUUUGUAGAAAAAUAUUAAUCUUUAUUUAAUUUAAAAUGUUUAACUAUAUCAGUAUCAGAAAACAGUUAUUAAAAAAUAAUCAUGUCAGAAAAAUAAGUAGAAUAGCCAGAAUAUGGUUAAUUCAAUUGAGAAUAAAGUGAAAUAUUUUAUCCUGUCUCAGUAAGAAAUAAAACCAAUCUAAACACUUAUUGGAAAAUCUUUAGAAGCAAAUAUUUAUUCAACCAAUUUAAAAUUAUCUCCCUUGUUAAUAUUUUGUAAUCCUUAUUAAAAUCAUUAGAAAAACAAUUAGACACAUAACCAAUUAUUUGUUUAACAAAUCUAAAAUUAUCUCCCUUAUUUUGUUCCUUAAUAAAUGUUUAAAUAUAAUAAAAAUCAGAAAAAUGCAACUAUAUA